AUUGAACGCUGGCGGCAGGCCUAACACAUGCAAGUCGAACGAGUGGCGGACGGGUGAGUAAUGUCUGGGAAACUGCCCGAUGGAGGGGGAUAACUACUGGAAACGGUAGCUAAUACCGCAUACAAUCGGAGGUGCCAGGAUGGGAUUAGCUUGUGGGUGAGGUAACGGCUCACCUAGGCGACGCUCCCUAGCUGGUCUGAGAGGAUGAUCAGUCACAGGGGAAAUGGGACACGGUCCGGACUCCGACGGGAGGCAGCAGUGGGGAAUAUUGGACAAUGGGCGCAAUGCUGAUCCAGCCAUGCCGCGUGUGUGAAGAAGGUAUUCGGAUUGUAGAGCACUUUAAGUUGGGAGGCGUUACCAACAGAAUAAGCACCGGCUAACUUCGUGCCAGCAGCCGCGGUAAUUC
rnacentral:rRNA from 1 species